GAUCCUCCUGCCUCAGCUGCCGAGUAGCUGGAACUACAGGGGAUUCUUUGGGAAGAUAAGAUCUCCAAAAUUUAGUCUUCAGUUGCAUCUGCAGAAUGCACUUAGUACAUGUUUCGUCAAUUCAAUGCUCGUUCGGAAUUUGGCCAGCAAAAGAGAAUGUGAAUGCACAGUGCAUGAUGGUGGACUGAGCUUUGGACAUCAACAGGGGAAUAAAAAUCAGUUCAGCUCUUGCUAAAAUAGUUUUCCAUUGUCUGAAUCAGAACUGAGCACAAAUGAGUCACCAAAGUUAAAGCUGAAAAAUAACUAAGUUGGGCUAAGAGUCCAAUAUGCCAAAGCCAAGUCUGUUAUACACUAUUUUAUGGAAUUAUGGGGAGAUAAAGAAGGUUUAGAAAAGAAUAAGGUGGAAGACUCUAUGUUGGGCUUGUGUGUGUAUAUCUCAUGAUGUUUUCAAAAGUACAUGGAAAACAUGAGAAAACUAUGCAUGUGUUUCAAUUUUUUUUUUUUUUUUUUUUUUUUUUUUUUUUUUUUUAUUUUUUUUUUUUUUUUUUUUUUUUUUUUGCCAAACAAACUCAUACUAACUUGUUAUAACAUGUCUGAAUAGGAUCUAGUGUGAGGCUCUCAGAAGGAUAACACAUCAGCUUGAAAAGAGCCCCUAUGAGAGCAAAUGAAUUUUGCUAAAAUUGAAGCAAAAACAAAUGUAUCAAAUUUAUGUUGACACUUGGGUAAAAGAAUGGUGAAAUCACUGAUGCUUAUGAAAACUUUAGGAGUAAAAUGCCCCAAAGAAAUCAGCAGUUUACAAAUGGAUAACUUGUUUUAAGAAGCAAUGAAAUGAUGUUGAAGAUGAAGCCCAUAGUGGCAAACCAUCCACAUCAAUUUGUGAAGAAAAAAUUAAUCUUGUUCGUGCCCUAAUUGAAGAGGAUUGACAAUUAACAGCAGAAACAAUAGCACCACAGACAACUCAAUUGAUUCAGCUCACACAAUUCUGACUGAAAAAAUCAAAGUUGAGCAAAUUUUUUACUCAACGUAUGCAAAAACCAUUACUCCCAGAUCAUCUGCAGACAAAAACAGAGUUUUCAAUGAAAACUGGAAACAAGUAACAUCAAGAUCCUGAAGCAUUUCUUUAAAGUAACAAGAGAUGAAAUAUGGCUUUACCAGUACAAUCCUGAAGACAAAGCACAAUCAAAGCCAUGGCUGCCAAGAGGCAUUAAGUGCUCUAGUCAAAGCAAAAGUAUACUAGUCAAGAGCAAAGAUCAUGGCAACAGUUUUGGCCAUGAUCAAAGCAUUUUACUUGUUGACUUUCUGUAGGGCCAACAAAUGUUAACAUCUGCUUAUUAUGAGAGUGUUUUGAAAACGUUAGCCAAAGAUUUAGAAGAAAAACACCCAGGAAAACUUCACCUGAGAUCCUCCUCCACCAUGACAAUGCUCCUGUUCAUUCCUCUCAUCAAACAAGAGCAAUUUUAUGAGCGUUCUGAUGUUAGGCAUCCUCCUUACAGUCCUGAUUUGGCUCCUUCUGACUUCUUUUUGUUUCUUUCCUCAGUUAAUAAUGAAAAAAA